rnacentral:misc_RNA from 1 species
UGAUAAUCUACUGAAAUGUGAUGCUUUGUUGGUCUGUACAUGUUUGUUGAAUGUUAUAAUCAUGAACUGUAGAAGAAAAAUGAUAUUGAAUUUCUUUAAUAAGUAAACUUUACAAAGAUGAAUGCUACCGGCCAAUUGGAAUGUCUUUUGUUUGUACUUCCCAUGUCCAUAUGAUUGAUGGAAUAGACAUUUUGGAAAAGUCAGUGUAGAAUUCAAA